UUUAACCUGGAUUGUAGGACCUUGUGUGUGUGAACACAGGGAUGGAGAACUCCCUCAGAGGGCCCCGACCAGGAACCAGUCUUACCGGUCAGGCAGCCCCUGCCCACCUGCUCAGGCGGGCAUCUGGCUUACCAGCCCAGCUGGGGACUUAAGGCUCCACUGCUGGCCUCUGGGGACUGAAUUCCAUCCGGGUGGCAUUCAUUGGCUGCCCGUGGCGGGAGAGGCUGGGGGAGGGGAUUGCUGAGUUUCUAAGGGGCUUUAGUCUGGACAAUGAAUCACAUAUCCCCUCCUGGAAAGGCUGCAGUGAGGCAGCUCUGUUUCAUUCUACUGCCACCGCCUCUGGUCCUAGAAAACACUGAGUUUCUGGUGGGGAGAAUUGAGGGAGUGGGGAGGCAAAAUCAGAGACAAAUGCCCAUUUCUCUUCCCCCCUCCAGAGAAAACCAGGGCAGAGAGGCCUGGGCCUGUGGAGCCAGAACUGGGUGGUGACUUUGUCUUUGUCAUGCUGGGGUUGGGGAGAGGGAGUCCUUUCCAGCAGUGAGUGUGUGUGUGUGUGUACACACGUAUGCAUAUGUGCCUGUGUGGUGGGGUCUGGCCAAGUUUCUAAAGUCCCUCUUGGUUCUCUCUUUUCCAGGCCUGAUCACUUGAACGGACAUAUCAAGCAGGUGCACACUUCUGAGCGGCCUCACAAGUGUCAGGUGUGGGUUGGGAGCAGCAGCGGCCUGCCGCCCCUGGAACCUCUUCCUAGCGACCUGCCAUCAUGGGACUUUGCCCAGCCUGCUUUGUGGAGGUCGUCCCAUUCGGUUCCUGACACCGCCUUUUCCCUUUCUCUAAAAAAAUCAUUCCCAGCCCUUGAAAACCUGGGCCCAGCACACUCCAGCAACACUCUCUUCUGCCCAGCCCCGCCGGGAUAUCUGAGGCAGGGCUGGACCACCCCAGAGGGCAGCAGGGCCUUUACCCAGUGGCCUGUUGGCUAGCCUGGGCCUCCCUGGAGAGGGUUGACAGUGGAAGGGAACAGGAGGGGCAUUUGGCCUGAGACCCCUGCUUUUGGGAGAGGCUAGCAGGGUGGUUCCUGCCCAGCAUGCCCAGCUCCUCCCUGGGUGACUCGGAGUCUUUCCCAUGUCAGAGCCCCCAAAUGGGGGUAGCAAGGAGCACCUUUCUGGAACCCCCUAUAGCAUCCAAGUUUCUUUCUGGGCUCUCUUGCCUUUUCCCCCCUUUCACAGAUGGCACCCCUGGGCAUCUGUCCUUGCCUAGGUGAUUUUGGAGGUUGGUGCCUUCCUGGGAACUAGCCACCAGCUUAUCUGCUUCCCUUCCCCUGGCAUCACUUCCCAUAGGCCUGGGGUUUCUAGACUGGGGCCUGGCCACCCCUUUCCCCACUCCACGAGUGAGUCGGCCUCCAGAGAAGACUGGCACAAUUCCAACUAGAGUCAACCCAUGCUGCCCUCUGCCCUUCCCACUCAGAUCUAGAUCCUGCUUUCAUUUCUGGCUAGUGAAGUAGACUUUUGUGUUUUUGAGGUUUAUUAGCAGGUCUGCUCAGGAACCAAACUAAUGAGUAGCUUUAUAUUGGGCCACCCCAAUAUAUGGCUUUGGGGGCUGAAAAAGCAGAUGUAGACCCCCUCCCUCGGAUCCUUAUUGGUGUGCCCUUUAGCACUCCGCAGACUCUGCGGGGUGAACAGGAGUGAUGAUAAAAUUUUUCAUUCUAACA
rnacentral:lncRNA from 1 species